rnacentral:rRNA from 1 species
UACGUAGGGACCAAGCGUUGUUCGGAUUUACUGGGCGUAAAGCGUGCGCAGGCGGUUUUGUAAGCCAGAUGUGAAAUCCCCGGGCUUAACCUGGGAAUGGCAUUUGGGACUGCAAGGCUCGAGUGCGGCAGAGGAGACUGGAAUUCCUGGUGUAGCAGUGAAAUGCGUAGAUAUCAGGAGGAACACCGAUGGCGAAGGCAAGUCUCUGGGCUGACACUGACGCUCAUGCACGAAAGCGUGGGGAGCAAACAGG